GGUUUCGGGGUGAGCUGGAGAGGAUGAAGCCAAAGUCGAUGUGGAUGAUGUGACCUUCUGCGUCGAGAAGAAUGUUCCCAUUGUGCCUGAGGAAGGGGAGGAGGAAGAGGCAACAUGACAUUUUUGGGGAUACAUUUUAAAAUGUAUUCAUAUUUCACCCUUUAAAACUCAGAACAUAACAAAUUCCACUUACUGGAAAUUCAUACUAUUAGAAAUCCCUGAAGUACACUUAAUAAAAGGAGGUAAGUUUCUUGGUUGCACCAGAGCAAUGGACAUGAUUUUCCCCCCACAAGUGACAGUUUUGUCAACUUUCCCUCCAAACCUACUAAGAUAUUAAUGCAAGGAUAACAGAGUGAACAUUUUCUAGAAAUAAAAGGAAGAAGUGAAUUUUAACAUUGGAUCUGUCCAAGUAAUGAUAUAAAAAUUAUUAUUUUGGUCCACCGUUGCUGAGCUAACUUUUCCCUGAUACACAGAGAAAACCCACAACAGUGCACAGGUAUCAGAAACUGGUUACCUUUCUGUAGCCUUAGCUAUGAACGAGAAAAACUUUCCAUAUUCAAACUGAAUAUGGAAUAUGUGACAUGAAAAAUGAGUCCAUAUGCUUUUGAUGUUAUUUUUUAUUCUAAGACAGUCUCAUGUACCCCAAGCUGGCCUGGAACAUGGGGAUGACCUGGAGCUUCUGAUAUUCCUUUGCUUGCUAUCUUCCAAGUGUGUGCCCGUAUACCUGGUCUUAAGAGACACUGGAGACUGAACCCUGGCCUUUGUGCAUUCUAGAUAAACUCUACCAACUGAGCUACAUCCUCGGCCUUCCCUACCCCACCCCCCUUUUUAAAAAGCAGCAUUGGGGAGAUGGGGAGAUGAACAGUAAAGAACACUGACUGCUUUUCCAAAGGACAAAGGUUUGGUUCUCAGCACCCACAUGGCAGUUUACUGUAACUCCAAUUUUAGGGUAUCUGUCACUCUCUUCUGGCCUUCGUGGAUACCAGGCACAAACAUGGUGUGCAAACAUACUUGCAAGCAAAAUACAUGGAAAAUAAAAAUGCAGUAGAAAAUAAACUCUGGCAAAUUCCAUUUAAAAAUUUGAAUGGUUUGUUCUUCCUGGGCUUGUUCUGGCAGGCUUGUACUGAUGAUAAAACCACCUGAUUGAUAACAGUGCAUACUCUAGCAUAUUCUGCAUGCGAGGCCCAAUUUGAAGUGACAGGCAAUAGUUUUGGCCAACAUGGCACACUUCUUUAUUUCAGACUUGCUUAAAGCAAGGAUGACCAAUUUUGGUUUGCUUUAUGUGACUAUGUUGAGUAUGUGUUACCUGUUUGGUUUUCAAGGCAGGGUUUCUCUGUGUACCAGCUCUGGCUGUCCUGGAACUCCCUUUGUGAACCAGGCUGACCUGAUAUUCGCUUACCUCUGCCUCCCAAGUGCUGGGACUACAAGUGUGCGACAUCACCUGGGGUGUGAGUAUGUGUGAUUUUAUAACAAGUUGAAGCCUAGACCUACAGUUGAUCAACACCAAUAACUUUCUCUUCUUUGUAACCACUAUUUUGUGAGGUGCUUCCAGAAAUUUUAAAAAUGCUAGGAUAAUCUUGCACUUACUUCCUCUACCCCCAGUGUUAAUGUGUUAAUGGGGACCAAACUCAGAGCACUGUGCAUGCUAAGCAAAGCACUCUUCAACCUGAGCUACAUCACCAACAUCUAUUUUUUAGGUUAUUAGGAAUAGUUCAGCAGGGGCUGGAGAGAUGGUUCAGCAGUGAAAAGCACUGGCUGCUCUUCCAGAGGACCCAGGUUCAAUUCCCAACACCCAUAUAGUAGCUAAGAACCAUCUGUAACUCUAUUCCCAAGGGACCUGAUGCUAUCUGGUUCUGUUGGGCACACUAUGCAGGUGGUGCACCGAAAUACAUGCAAGUAAAAACUCAUACAUUAAUAAAAAAAAAAAAGGUUAUCAGUUCCCUGCUACACCAAAGGGAAAGACUUUCAUCUUCCAAACGUUUUCUCUUGGUGGUUUUAUUUACUUUCUAUUUUAUUGUUUUUACAUAUCAGUUUCUAAAAUGAAAUUCCUGAGGUCUAACUAGUGCUAGCUUCAGCUGUAGGAAAUCCUACAGUUAGUUACUGCUCACUUGGGCGUGGCCUCAUAUACUAUUUAUGCCGAUGUAAAGAAUGCAUCUGCUCUCUAUCUCUGGCGCGGAUCCAUGGCAUCUCUCCGACUACACCCUUCUUUUUCCCAGCAUUCAGCUGAGAACCUUAGGCAGAACUUAGGUAGGUAAGUCCAAAGCAAUUCUUUAUUCAUUAACUAAUAAAAGCAACACAUAGACAGAAGGACCUCCCACACCAAGCUUCCCUGUUCUCACUUAGUCAAUCUUGUAGCUGAG